rnacentral:rRNA from 1 species
UACGUAGGUGGCAAGCGUUAUCCGAAUUAUUGGGCGUAAAGCGUCUGUAGGUGGUUUACCAAGUCUGUUGUUAAAAACCAGGGCUUAACCCUGAUCCGGCAACAGAAACUAGUAGGCUAGAGUACGGUAGGGGCAGAGGGAAUUCUCGGUGUAGUGGUGAAAUACGUAGAUAUCGAGAAGAACACCAAUAGCGAAAGCACUCUGCUGGGCCGAAACUGACAUUGAGAGACGAAAGCUAGGGGAGCAAAAAGG